CACGUAGGGACCAAGCGUUGUCCGGAUUCAUUGGGCGUAAAGAGCUCGUAGGCGGUUCGAUAAGUCGGGUGUGAAACCUCCAGGCUCAACCUGGAGACGCCACCCGAUACUGUCGUGACUAGAGUCCAGUAGGGGAGCGUGGAAUUCCUGGUGUAGCGGUGAAAUGCGUAGAUAUCGAGAGGAACACCUGCGGCGAAGGCGGGUUGCUGGGCUGACACUGACGCUGAAGUGCGAAAGCUAGGGGAGCGAACGGG
rnacentral:rRNA from 1 species